rnacentral:lncRNA from 1 species
AGAAUUUAUAUAGAAGUCUUUCAGUCACGUAAAAAUCUCACUCAUUUUCGGCAAUCACUUGUUGACCACACUCGACAAGGAGAAAUCGAGGAAGUAAAAAGAAAGAAGGAAAAGAAUAAAGGAAAAAAGAGAAAAAAAUAAAAAAAGAAGAAGAAAAAGAAAAUAUACAGACGUUAACCAAAUUUUAUUAAAUUUUAUCUUAACCACCAGUAUACCUCCGACAACUAGGCCAAA